UCAGCUCAUAGCGUAUAUUAAGUUGUUGCGGUUAAAAAGCUCGUAGUUGGAUCUCAGCUCACGCUAAGUGGUCCACCUAAUGGUGGUUACUACUUAGCUGAGCAUUUUACAGAUUUGUCUCUUGAUGCUCUUCACCGAGUGUCAAGAGUGGUCUGUACGUUUACUUUGAAAAAAUUAGAGUGCUUAAAGCAGGCAACUCGCCCGAAUAAUCUUGCAUGGAAUAAUGGAAUAGGACCUUGGUUCUAUUUUGUUGGUCUCCGGAAUCUGAGGUAAUGAUUAAGAGGGACAGACGGGGGCAUUCGUAUUGCGCCGCUAGAGGUGAAAUUCUUGGACCGGCGCAAGACGAACUACAGCGAAAGCAUUUGCCAAGAAUGUUUUCAUUAAUCAAGAACGAAAGUUAGAGGUUCGAAGGCGAUCAGAUACCGCCCUAGUU
rnacentral:rRNA from 1 species